AUACGGAGGGUGCAAGCGUUAUUCGGAAUCACUGGGCGUAAAGGACGCGUAGGCGGGUUGGCAAGUCAGAUGUGAAAUCCUACAGCUAAACUGUAGAACUGCAUUUGAAACUGCUAACCUAGAGUAUGGGAGGGGGAGAUGGUAUUAGUGGUGUAGGGGUAAAAUCCGUAGAUAUCACUAGGAAUACCGAAAGCGAAGGCGAUCUCCUGGAACAUAACUGACGCUAAGGCGUGAAAGCGUGGGGAGCAAACAGGAUUAGAAACCCUAGUAGUCC
rnacentral:rRNA from 1 species